AUUGAACGCUGGCGGCAUGCCUUACACAUGCAAGUCGAACGGCAGCAUAGGAGCUUGCUCCUGAUGGCGAGUGGCGAACGGGUGAGUAAUAUAUCGGAACGUGCCCUAGAGUGGGGGAUAACUAGUCGAAAGACUAGCUAAUACCGCAUACGAUCUACGGAUGAAAGUGGGGGAUCGCAAGACCUCAUGCUCCUGGAGCGGCCGAUAUCUGAUUAGCUAGUUGGUGGGGUAAAAGCCUACCAAGGCAACGAUCAGUAGCUGGUCUGAGAGGACGACCAGCCACACUGGGACUGAGACACGGCCCAGACUCCUACGGGAGGCAGCAGUGGGGAAUUUUGGACAAUGGGGGCAACCCUGAUCCAGCAAUGCCGCGUGAGUGAAGAAGGCCUUCGGGUUGUAAAGCUCUUUUGUCAGGGAAGAAACGGUAGUAGCGAAUAACUAUUACUAAUGACGGUACCUGAAGAAUAAGCACCGGCUAACUACGUGCCAGCAGCCGCCGUAA
rnacentral:rRNA from 1 species